AUUGAACGCUGGCGGCAGGCCUAACACAUGCAAGUCGAACGAGUGGCGGACGGGUGAGUAGUUUGUGGGAAACUGCCUGAGGAAGGGGGAUAACUACUGGAAACGGUAGCUAGUACCGCAUACCAACGGAUGUGCCCAGAUGGGAUUAGCUAGUAGGUGGGGUAAAGGCUCACCUAGGCGACGAUCCCUAGCUGGGCUGAGAGGAUGACCAGCCAAACUGGAACUGAGACACGGUCCAGACUCCUACGGGAGGCAGCAGUGGGGAAUAUUGCACAAUGGGCGAAAGCCUGAUGCAGCCAUGCCGCGUGUAUGAAGAAGGCCUUCGGGUUGUAAAGUACUUUCAGCGGGGAGGCGUUACCCGCAGAAGAAGCACCGGCUAACUCCGUGCCAGCCGCCGCGGUAAUUC
rnacentral:rRNA from 1 species